GGAAUUUUUCCGCAAUGGGCGAAAGCCUGACGGAGCAAUGCCGCGUGAAGGAUGACGGCCUAUGGGUUGUAAACUUCUUUUCUCAGAGAAGAAUUUUUGACGGUAUCUGAGGAAUAAGCAUCGGCUAACUCUGUGCCAGCAGCCGCGGUAAGACAGAGGAUGCAAGCGUUAUCCGGAAUGAUUGGGCGUAAAGCGUCUGUAGGUGGCUUAAAAAGUCUCCUGUCAAAGAUCAGGGCUUAACCCUGGGCCGGCAGGAGAAACUCUUAGGCUAGAGUUUGGUAGGGGCAGAGGGAAUUCCCGGUGGAGCGGUGAAAUGCGUAGAGAUCGGGAGGAACACCAAAGGCGAAAGCACUCUGCUGGGCCAGAACUGACACUGAGAGACGAAAGCGAGGGGAGCAAAAGGGAUUAGAUACCC
rnacentral:rRNA from 1 species